CUGGAGUUGAAAGGCAAUAAUUUUCUUCCUCUCUGUCAUCACCAAUUUAUUACCAUGAACUCUGGUGCAAUGGAAAAUUAUUACCUCUUUAUAGAUUUCAGCAAUUUAAAACAGGAAGAAUUUAGUUUGAGCCUUUGAGGAUCUAACACUGCAUCUCUUUCCUGUCCUUAGCUGCCUUCUUUCAGGUCAGCUGCCUCUGAUGCCCAACAGGCCAGCAACAGGAUAGGAUUUGGAGAAACCAUGAGAGCCCCAGUUUCCUGAGCCUCAUUUGUGGUUGUGGCAGACGAUUGAGAAGAGGAAGUAUGAAUUGCAGUGAGAUGCAGUGGGAAAGAAAGAAUUCAUACCAUCAGGAUGACCUCUGCUGUUGAUGUAUUCUUGCCUACACAGGAACAUCCUGAACUUGGAAAUGGAUACUCCUUUGGGAUGCCCCUAUAUCAGCUUUAGCUGAGACCACCAGAUUUGUCUGCAUGGGAAACACUACUGUUACUCUGAUAGGCAUCAAGUUGGAUCCCUGAAGCUUCUCCAAGAUGUUUUCAAGCCACUAGGAAGUGUUUUUGCCAUCACCACAAAGAGGAGGAUGUGAGUAGACCAAGAUGCCCUGGGAUGUAAGGAAGGAGAGGCUGUCCUGUCAGGGAGGUCUAUUGUGAAAUGAAACUAAAGUAUGAUACUUUAGCUAGUUGUGAAUUAAAUGGCAUUUAUGAUCUAGCCUGAGCCCCAUUCAAAAUUCGUCAUAUUAUUUUAUAGGAAACAUAUUAAGUAAACUUUUGGUUGGAGAUAAAUUACAAUAUUUUUUUCUUUCUUUUUUUUAACAAGUGGCUGCACCUGUGGCAUAUGGAAGUUCCUGACCAGGAGUCGAGCCACAGCCAUUGUAGAAGCAACACCGAGUAG
rnacentral:lncRNA from 1 species